AAUGGGCGCAAGCCUGACGGAGCAAUACCGCGUGAGGGAGGAAGGCUCUUGGGUCGUAAACCUCUUUUAUCAGGGAAGAACACAAUGACGGUACCUGAUGAAUCAGCAUCGGCUAACUCUGUGCCAGCAGCCGCGGUAAUACAGAGGAUGCAAGCGUUAUCCGGAAUUAUUGGGCGUAAAGCGUCCGCAGGUGGUUUUGGUAGUCUGCUGUCAAAGCGCGAGGCUCAACUUCGUAUCGGCGGUGGAAACUCCAAGACUAGAGUUUGGUAGGGGUCACGGGAAUUCCCAGUGUAGCGGUGAAAUGCGUAGAUAUUGGGAAGAACACCAGCGGCGAAAGCGCGUGACUGGGCCUGAACUGACACUCAUGGACGAAAGCUAGGGGAGCGAAAGGGAUUAGAUACCCC
rnacentral:rRNA from 1 species